ACGCCCUCGACCUAUUCUC
rnacentral:snRNA from 1 species